GACGAACGCUGGCGGCGUGCUUAACACAUGCAAGUCGAACGGAAAGGCCCUGCUUUUGUGGGGUGCUCGAGUGGCGAACGGGUGAGUAACACGUGAGUAACCUGCCCUUGACUUUGGGAUAACUUCAGGAAACUGGGGCUAAUACCGGAUAGGAGCUCCUGCUGCAUGGUGGGGGUUGGAAAGUUUCGGCGGUUGGGGAUGGACUCGCGGCUUAUCAGCUUGUUUGUGGGGUAGUGGCUUACCAAGGCUUUGACGGGUAGCCGGCCUGAGAGGGUGACCGGCCACAUGGGGACUGAGAUACGGCCCAGACUCCUACGGGAGGCAGCAGGGGGGAAUAUGGCACAAUGGGCGGAAGCCUGAUGCAGCAACGCCGCGUGCGGGAUGACGGCCUUCGGGUUGUAAACAGCUUUCGCCUGUGACGAAGAGUGAGUGACGGUAAUGGGUAAAGAAGCACCGGCUAACUACGUG
rnacentral:rRNA from 1 species